UACAAUCCAUGAUGAUCUCUGCCUCAGUCUGAGCUCUCACUGAUUAUUUGACAACAAUAAAAGAUCUGAUAUUCUG
rnacentral:snoRNA from 1 species